ensembl:snRNA U6 U6 spliceosomal RNA
GUGCUCACUUUGGCAGCACACAUACUAAAAUUGGAACGAUACAGAGAAGAUUAGCAUGGUCCCUGCGCAAGGAGGACAUGCAAAUUUGUGAAGCAUUCCAUAUUUUG